rnacentral:rRNA from 1 species
GACAGAGGGUGCGAACGUUGUUCGGAAUUACUGGGCGUAAAGCGCAUGUAGGCGGCAGCGCAAGUCGGGCGUGAAAUCCCACGGCUCAACCGUGGAAGUGCACUCGAAACUGCGCAGCUAGAGUCCUGGAGAGGAAGGUGGAAUGCUUGGUGUAGAGGUGAAAUUCGUAGAUAUCAAGCGGAACACCGGUGGCGAAGGCGGCCUUCUGGACAGUGACUGACGCUGAGAUGCGAAAGCGUGGGGAGCAAGCAGG